ACGAACGCUGGCGGCGUGCUUCACACAUGCAAGUCGAACGGAAAGGCCCUGCUUUUGUGGGGUGCUCGAGUGGCGAACGGGUGAGUAACACGUGAGUAACCUGCCCUUGACUUUGGGAUAACUUCAGGAAACUGGGGCUAAUACCGGAUAGGAGCUCCUGCUGCAUGGUGGGGGUUGGAAAGUUUCGGCGGUUGGGGAUGGACUCGCGGCUUAUCAGCUUGUUGGUGGGGUAGUGGCUUACCAAGGCUUUGACGGGUAGCCGGCCUGAGAGGGUGACCGGCCACAUUGGGACUGAGAUACGGCCCAGACUCCUACGGGAGGCAGCAGUGGGGAAUAUUGCACAAUGGGCGGAAGCCUGAUGCAGCAACGCCGCGUGCGGGAUGACGGCCUUCGGGUCGUAAACCGCUUUCGCCUGUGACGAAGCGUGAGUGACGGUAAUGGGUAAAGAAGCACCGGCUAACUACGU
rnacentral:rRNA from 1 species